rnacentral:rRNA from 1 species
GAUGAACGCUGGCGGCGUGCCUAACACAUGCCAGUCGAGCGAAGCGCUUAAAUUAGAUUUCUUCGGAAUGACGAUUUUUGUGACUGAGCGGCGGACGGGUGAGUAACGCGUGGGUAACCUGCCUCAUACAGGGGGAUAACAGUUAGAAAUGACUGCUAAUACCGCAUAAGACCCCAGCUUCGCAUGAAGCGGUGGUAAAAACUCCGGUGGUAUGAGAUGGACCCGCGUCUGAUUAGCUAGUUGGUAAGGUAACGGCUUACCAAGGCGACGAACAGUAGCCGACAUGAGAGGGUGACCGGCCACAUUGGGACUGAGACACGGCCCAGACUCCUACGGGAGGCAGCAGUGGGGAAUAUUGCACAAUGGGGGAAACCCUGAUGCAGCGACGCCGCGUGAAGGAUGAAGUAUUUCGGUAUGUAAACUUCUAUCAGAAGGGAAGAAAGUGACGGUACCUGACUAAGAAGCCCCGGCUAACUACGUG